CAUCUAGGAUUGUGAAGAUGGAAACAAUUCUCUACAAUAUAUUUCCUGCUUCUACUAACGGGGAUUUAAGACAUUUAACCCAAAGGUAAGCCACAAGACAUUUCAUGAACACACCUCUACGAUAUAAAUAUUACUAAAAUAAUAAAUUAUCCGCGAUUACUUACCGUAUCGGUAUCAUUUGUGUUGCUUGUGCAGUUCUUAGACGGCGGCGAUGAAUUGUUAGUCGGUGUCAAACCACGGGUCAAACCGAAUGACCAAACCACUAAGAUAAAAUAUUGGACAAUCAUGCUGCUGUUUGUCACUUAAUACUAGUUUAAAAUGACGACCGCAUACGCUGUU